CACAAUGAAAAGAAAAACACGGAUACCACAUUAGGGUUUCAGGGUUUCUCAUUUCUUAUCCGCCUCCAUCUACACUCUCCUUCUCUGGCGAUUCAAGAACUGCGUGAUUCCUCUUUAGAUCUGUGUUUGUUUCUUCUUUAGAUCUAUGAUUCCUCUUCAGAUCUGCGCAAUUAGCCAGCUUCACACCCACCUUGUAGCCAUGAUUUCUGGUAGAUCUGAGCCACAUCAUUUUGCUGUACUUUUUAAGUCUUCCUCUUUCCUGAAGCCAUCUUCAUCACUAUAGAUGAUGAAAUAUAUCCAGUUUUGACGUAAAAUAAGAAAAUAUGUGGGGGAUUUUGUGGUAAAAAGCCGGAGGAGUUACCGGAUUAUCCUCUCAGGUUUGGAGAAUCAGAUGUUAAGGUUAAGGCAUGUAGCAUCAGCUAUGAGAAGUUUUGCAGUACUUUUCGAGUCUUGGCUUUCCUGAAGCCAUCUUCAUCACUGUCGACGAUGAAAUAUCUCCGAUGUCAUAAACAGUUUGUAACAUUGGCUGAAUACACAACUUUAUCUUCAUCACUAUCGACGCUGAAAUAUCUCUGUUUGUAACAUUGGCUGAGUACACAACUUUAGAGGAUUUUGUACAGGCUAUUACUCUUCCUCUUGCAAUCGAGACUUCUUGUGAAGGUCUAGAAUGGGCUAGCUUUGGUGAGUGUGACAGGUAUCACCUAUAGGGAAUGGGCACCUGGAGCAUAGGUUUGGUAUUGUCUCAUUUAUAUUAUUUUUAUUCUACGUGAUUCGAGGAAAUACAACGUAAUUUGUUAAAAUCAUGUUAAUCUCAUGGCUACAUUUCUUUUUCUGAGUUGCUACAUCAGCUGAUAUCCUUUUUAUUAAAAAAAAUUAUAGUCUGCUUCGCUUAUUGGAGAUUUCAAUAGCUGGAAUCCAAAUGCUGAUGUUAUGACCAAGUGAAAAAUGGAUCCUAUCGCAUUGACAUAUGGCUGCUGUAUUGGGUCGCCAGUUUCAACUUCGUAGAAGGUUCAGGUCAGUUGGGGUUAUGCUUGUUUGCAGUCCACAGGUGGCAGUUGGCCUAGCAAUGGCUGAAACUAAGGUUCAAGGCCCAGCGUUUGAUUUGCAGAUUAAAGAUAGCCAGGUACUCUCCCGUGGGACGAUCAUUCUAUUCUCCUGAUCUGGGUCGUAGACAACCACUCGAUGAGGGGUUGGACGAUCAUGAUCUGUUAAAAGUUUUGCCUGAUUGAUUUCUUUGCUUGAUUUGCACAUUUGGGGUGUUGCGACUGGUGGACUAAAAGAUCGAAGCGCGUUCGCACAUUAGAGUUGGACUGGAUUCGUAAGUCCAAGAGUGUUAUUGUCCAUGAGCUAGAUGGGCAUAACCGAUUGCUUGUCAAGGUAAAAUGGGUCGGACAAAGGUCAUAAAAUAGGUGACAUUGGUGUUAACGCCGCAGCCAGCGCAGCCGCAACAACUUUAUACGGCAUUUGGUCAAGAAAUAAGCAUGAUCUGAUAUAAGCAUAAAAGAGUCAGGCGACGUCUUACAAGUGAUGUUCUUUGCAAGAAAUAGUCGGUUAGAAGACACGCGAGCCAACGUUUUGCAGAAAAGCAGCUUGACUAUAAGAAAGGACAUCUGGAGAAUUUUGGCUGCCAUGACGUCACCUGGAGAAUUUUGAUUGCAGUGUGAAGGCAUUGUCCAAGAUCUUGAUGAUAGGCUUCAGGAGCUUCCCAUGCGUAUUCUGAAGCAACUUCACAAGUUCAACGGGCAAGAUCCGCCACUGGUCAUAUAGGAAGCAUCAACAACAGAUUCAAAGAGGGGAUUUUUCCGGUUGUUUGAGUCCAACUGCACUGGAAUCAGCUGAACCGUUUGUUCAUAUACCUUUUGGUGCUAGAAAACUAGAGGAACGGGAAUUACACCAAGCGAUCGAACUCCAAGACAGACGAUUAAUGAAUCUGCAGUUGGCUGAUGCAAAACACCGUCUGAUACCAUUUGCUAAAAUGAAUUUAUAGGUUUAAUUUAGAUUAAUAUUUUUUUGAAUAAUGAAUACAAAAUUUAAAUAAUUCUAGAAGUUAAAAGUCUAUUAUUAACUUUUGUAACUUAAUAGUGUUUGUAGUUUUUAUAAA